GACGAACGCUGGCGGCGUGCUUAACACAUGCAAGUCGAACGAAGUGGCGAACGGGUGAGUAACGCGUAAUCCACCUGCCCUUCAGAGGGGGACCACAGUUGGAAACGACUGCUACUACCGACUACUGCAGGUGGGGGUUGCGUCUGCUUAGCUAGUUGGAGGGGUAACGGCCCACUAGGGCGAUGAGCAGUAGCCGGUCUGAGAGGAUGAACGGCCACAUUGGGACUGAGACACGGCCCAGACUGCUACGGGAGGCAGCAGUGGGGAAUCUUCCGCAAUGGACGAAAGUCUGACGGAGCAACGCCGCGUGAGUGAUGACGGCCUUCGGGUUGUAAAGCUCUGUUAAUCGGGACGCGGUACCGGAAUAGAAAGCCACGGCUAACUACGUGCCAGCAGCCGCGGUAAUUC
rnacentral:rRNA from 1 species